GUGCUUGCUUCAACAGCACAUACACCCAAACUGGAGCAAUACAGAGAAGAGUAGCCUGGUCCCUGCGCCAGAAUGACAUGCCAAUUUAUGAUGCAUUACAUAUAUUU
ensembl:snRNA U6 U6 spliceosomal RNA